AGCGAACGCUGGCGGCAGGCCUAACACAUGCAAGUCGAACGAACUCUUCGGAGUUAGUGGCGGACGGGUGAGUAACACGUGGGAACGUGCCUUUAGGUUCGGAAUAACUCAGGGAAACUUGUGCUAAUACCGAAUGUGCCCUUCUGGGCAAAGAUUUAUCGCCUUUAGAUCGGCCCGCGUUUGAUUAGCUAGUUGGUGAGGUAAAGGCUCACCAAGGCGACGAUCAGUAGCUGGUCUGAGAGGAUGAUCAGCCACAUUGGGACUGAGACACGGCCCAAACUCCUACGGGAGGCAGCAGUGGGGAAUCUUGCGAAAUGGGCGAAAGCCUGACGCAGCCAUGCCGCGUGAAUGAUGAAGGUCUUAGGAUUGUAAAAUUCUUUCACCGGGGACGAUAAUGACGGUACCCGGAGAAGAAGCCCCGGCUAACUUCGUG
rnacentral:rRNA from 1 species